ensembl:snoRNA SNORD116 Small nucleolar RNA SNORD116
GGAUCGAUGAUGAUACCCCAAAAUCAUUCCUUGGAAAAGCUGAACAAAAUGAGUGAGAACUUCAAACCGUCGUUCUCAUCGUGACUGAGGUCC